GGUUAACUAUGUAGUGUUAACACCUGUAUUCAAGAUGUCGACCUCUUUACAGAUUCAUUUUACUGGGAAACUCCUUGUACCAAGUUUUGUGGUUUCACUUUUACCAACUGCAUAUCCUGGUUUGACCCGAAUGUACCAUGAGAGGGAGGUUUCAAGGCAUGUUUAAGAGAUGUCAUCCAGUCAGCAACAUGUACUUCUGAUCCAGGUUUGUAGAUAGACCCAGAGUCUCCGACGAUGUCACAAUAAUCGCUGGAGUUCAAGAUAGUGCUGCAGUCCAGGCAAGCCGCUGUUACUGAGUAAUAUGUUUGCGCCAUGUUCAACUCGACAGGUAUACCAACAUGAAAAAUGUAAAAUACAGAAAGCUAAACAGAAUAAAGUCUCAUUUACCUCACGAGA